AGUAACGCCCGAAGCCGGUGACCCAACCAAUUCAGGAGGGAGCCGUCGAAGGUGGGACCGAUAACUGGGGUGAAGUCGUAACAAGGUAAC
rnacentral:rRNA from 1 species